CCUACGGGUGGCAGAAGUGAGGAAUAUUGGUCAAUGGCCGAGAGGCUGAACCAGCCAAGUCGCGUGAGGGAAGACGGCCCUACGGGUUGUAAACCUCUUUUGUCGGGGAGCAAAGAGAGUCACGUGUGACUCAUUGAGAGUACCCGAAGAAAAAGCAUCGGCUAACUCCGUGCCAGCAGCCGCGGUACUACGGAGGAUGCGAGCGUUAUCCGGAUUUAUUGGGUUAAAAGGGUGCGCGGGGGGAGGUGCAAGUCAGGGGUAAAAUUGGGGGGCUCAACCCCGUACUGCCGUUGAAACUGCAUCCCUUGAGUGCGCGAGAAGUAUGCGGAAUGCGGGGGGUAGCGGUGAAAGGCAUAGAUACCACGCAGAACCCCGAUUGCGAAGGCAGCAUACCGGCGGCGAUCUGACGCUGAGGCACGAAAGCGUGGGUAUCGAACAGGAUUAGAUACCCGGUAGUC
rnacentral:rRNA from 1 species